rnacentral:rRNA from 1 species
AUACGGAGGAUCCGAGCGUUAUCCGGAUUUAUUGGGUUUAAAGGGUGCGCAGGCGGCCAUUUAAGUCAGCGGUUAAAUCGUGGGGCUCAGCCCCAUUCUGCCGUUGAUACUGGGUGGCUUGAUUGCGGUCGAGGUUGGCGGAAUUCGUUGUGUAGCGGUGAAAUGCUUAGAUAUCACGAAGAACUCCGAUUGCGAAGGCAGCUCACUGGACUGCAACUGACACUGAUGCUCGAAAGUGUGGGUAUCAAACAGGAUUAGAUACCCUGGUAGUCCACACAGUAAACGAUGAAUACUCGCUGUUUGCGAUAUACAGUAAGCGGCCAAGCGAAAGCAUUAAGUAUUCCACCUGGGGAGUACGCCGGCAACGGUGAAACUCAAAUGAAUUGGCGGG